rnacentral:rRNA from 1 species
UACGGAGGGUGCAAGCGUUAAUCGGAAUUACUGGGCGUAAAGCGUGCGUAGGCGGUUCGUUAAGUCUGUUGUGAAAGCCCCGGGCUCAACCUGGGAAUGGCAAUGGAUACUGGCGAGCUAGAGUGUGUCAGAGGAUGGUGGAAUUCCCGGUGUAGCGGUGAAAUGCGUAGAGAUCGGGAGGAACAUCAGUGGCGAAAGCGGCCAUCUGGGACAACACUGACGCUGAGGCACGAAAGCGUGGGGAGCAAACAGG